rnacentral:rRNA from 1 species
UACGAAGGGGGCUAGCGUUGCUCGGAAUUACUGGGCGUAAAGCGCACGUAGGCGGAUUGUUAAGUCGGGGGUGAAAUCCUGGAGCUCAACUCCAGAACUGCCUUCGAUACUGGCGAUCUCGAGUUCGGGAGAGGUGAGUGGAACUGCGAGUGUAGAGGUGAAAUUCGUAGAUAUUCGCAAGAACACCGAUUGCGAAGGCAGCUCACUAAAUUGUAACUGACGCUGAGGCACGAAAGCGUGGGGAUCAAACAGG